rnacentral:rRNA from 1 species
CAUUUAAAGAGUGCGUAAUAGCUCACUAGUCGAGUGACCCUGCGCCGAAAAUGUACCGGGGCUAAACAUAUUACCGAAGCUGUGGAGUACACCUUUAGGUGUAUUGGUAGGAGAGCGUUCUAAGGGCGUUGAAGGCAGAUCGUGAGGACUGCUGGAGCGCUUAGAAGUGAGAAUGCCGGUAUGAGUAGCGAAAGACAGGUGAGAAUCCUGUCCACCGAAUGACUAAGGUUUCCUGGGGAAGGCUCGUCCGCCCAGGGUUAGUCGGGACCUAAGCCGAGGCCGACAGGCGUAGGCGAUGGAUAACAGGUUGAUAUUCCUGUACCCGUUGUUUUUGUUUGAGCAAUGGAGGGACGCAGGAGGCUAAGGAAUGCAGACGAUCGGAAAUGUCUGUCCAAGCAG